GACCGUGAAUUUUAAAUUACUAUAACUAGGCUCAAACACAUCUUUAUUAAUCAAAAUAGGAACCAUUACAGUGAACACAUAGGCGCACAUCCCUAACCUCGGCAAAAUAAACUUUCUAAAUUAACUGAGAAUAAGUUACGUGAUCAUUUGUUUUGCUUAACUGUUUUUUUUUGUUAUUGUUGUUUGUUUCUGUUUUAUUUGCUAUUUGAUUUUCACCUGAGUUAUUUCCUUUAAUAUGCAUAUUUAAUGCUAUUUAGCUUACAACUACCUAGGGUUGUGAAACAGCUUAUCAAGAAUUUGAAAGUCUGACAGGAAUAAAAAGGUUUUUGUGAAUCUAUAAUAUAGUUAUUUCUAUCAGC
rnacentral:lncRNA from 1 species